GGAGAAUUAAAGAUGGCGAUGUGAGAGUGCCACUAAGGUGUCUGCCCUCCCUGAGGAACUGUGAGCUCCCCAAAGUGCUGGACAGCACAGUGCUCACACUCAGCCCUCCUCCACCGCCUUCCCCAGCCCUGCUCCAGUUGUCAGCAUCACAGGGCAGGAGGCAGGCUGGAGGACGGUCAGGUCAGCAGGCAGCAGUUGUACUGGAUUGGCCCCAGGGCAUACACUGGUAAGUGUGGGGUCAGUGCCUGCCCUCCCUAUGGGACCAUGGGCACAGCAGGCCAUCCUGGGAGAGCCCCAGAUGCCAUGCGCCACUAGGAAGCAGGGCUCAGCUCCUGGACACUCCCAGUCUAACAGUGAUGCAUGGGUCCCACAGCCCCUCUCCUAGUUCCGCCCCCUCAUCUCACUCUCAGGUGAUUCGAAGAACUUCCUGUACAGACUGGAGGUCCUGCCUCUCUUCCUGAAAAGCACCUUCCCCCAGAGCUGCGUCCUUCUGAGACGAGAUCACUAUCCAGACAUUCAUGCUCAGAGGCCCAGCCCCAGCCUGGCCUCCACCGUGGACUGUUCCAGCUGUGCCACACAGAAGCAACGCUGCCUGGCUGCACAGUUCCGUAACUCACUGUUCCCAUACAAAGACCAAACUGAAACCAGGGAUGAUGGGACUCUCACUCAAUGCUAAGUACUCCACAGGCACAUGAAUUAUUUCACUUAUCACCUGUCUCUGAUCCCUUGCCAUGUGAAUUGUCUUCAUUUUUUGAAGAGGAAACUGAGGUUUAGAGGGGCUAAGUAUCCUUCCCAAGGUGACAGAGCUAGGAAGUCAGGGCUGGGCUUUGAAUUCUGGGGUGACUCUCAAGUUCAUGCCCUUUCGGAUCCAUCAGGGGAGGGUUCCAGGCCACACUGGUGUUGUAAGCGGCCAUCUGACCUGCAAGGGUUGUUACCUUUUCAGUGCAAGAUCUGUUUCACUUGUCAUUUGUUAUGAUUCCCCCGUACCUAGGUCAGUACCAGGCAGAGUACUCAGUAUGUCUGUGGCAUUGCUUUAAACGGUGGAAGUUUGGUGAGAAGUUCAUUUGCCUAUUGCCAACAUAGAGGAAAGGGCUUCUGAGGUGGAAUCUCCAAGAGCAGAAGGGUGGCCAGCAGGUAGGAAACCGAGGGGAAGGCCUGUCCCCACCCUCUGCCCUGACUUCUCCCAGCAUUUCUGCCUUGGAGCUGGGCUUGGCAGCUCUAAGGGAGUCUUAGAAGUCAGGAGUGCAAAGCUUUUGGAGCUCUCUGGGUGACAUGGGGAGGAAGUCCAGGCUCUAGGAAUGUAGUCUACCUGCCCCCAUUCCCCACCUUCCUGUCCCUCACCCGCCUUCCACCUGCUCCUGGUCUUUAGUAAUGCCAGGCAACAGGCGGUGAGGGUGCCUGCUCCCUCGAGAAGCUGCCCCUCCUGCCCGGAGUACCAAGAGAGGUGCCAGCCCCUCCUC